rnacentral:rRNA from 1 species
UCGGGAAUUUUGGGCAAUGGGCGAAAGCCUGACCCAGCAACGCCGCGUGAAGGAUGAAGUAUUUCGGUAUGUAAACUUCGAAAGAAUGGGAAGAAUAAAUGACGGUACCAUUUAUAAGCUCCGGCUAACUACGUGCCAGCAGCCGCGGUAAUACGAAGGGGGCUAGCGUUGUUCGGAAUUACUGGGCGUAAAGCGCACGUAGGCGGAUUUGUCAGUCAGGGGUGAAAUCCCGAGGCUCAACCUCGGAACUGCCUCCGAUACAGCAAGUCUCGAGUCCGGAAGAGGUGAGUGGAAUUCCUAGUGUAGAGGUGAAAUUCGUAGAUAUUAGGAAGAACACCAGUGGCGAAGGCGGCUAACUGGUCCGGUACUGACGCUGAGGUGCGAAAGCGUGGGGAGCAAACAGGAUUAGAUACCCCUGUAGUCCCUGAGCGGGCUGGCAAGGCGCAU